UACGUAGGGGGCAAGCGUUGUCCGGAAUUAUUGGGCGUAAAGGGCUUGUAGGCGGCCAACUAAGUCAUACGUGAAAUCCCUCGGCUUAACCGGGGAACUGCGUCUGAUACUGGAUGGCUUGAGAUUGGGAGAGGGAUGCGGAAUUCCAGGUGUAGCGGUGAAAUGCGUAGAUAUCUGGAGGAACACCGGUGGCGAAGGCGGCAUCCUGGACCAACACUGACGCUGAGGAGCGAAAGCCAGGGGAGCAAACGGG
rnacentral:rRNA from 1 species